rnacentral:lncRNA from 1 species
CAAUAAAACCGGUGGCAGGUUAAUGUACCUCUCAGCUCCUGAUACAUUUAUUAUACAGAAAUUAUAGACCGGCUGACUUAACUAUUGCUAAGAAACAUGCUUCUUGGCAGUACAUGCCACACUACUACCCUUCCUGCUCUUGUGCGCACACCUACCCUGAUGAUGCAGCCUUCACUGGAUAUCAAACCAUUUAUGUCUUUUCCAGUGGACAGUAGUUCUGCUGUUGGGCUCUUUCCAAAUUUUAACACA